CCUGCGGAAGGAUCAUUACAGAAAGUAAACGCGGGUCAAGCCGCGAACUUUUAAACCUUUGACUAUUGACUCAUGUUGCCUCGGCGGGUUCGCCCGCCAGAGGAUACAUCAAAACUCCUGUUUUAAUGGUGUUGUCUGAGCUACAAGCAACGAAUCAAAACUUUCAACAACGGAUCUCUUGGUUCUGGCAUCGAUGAAGAACGCAGCGAAAUGCGAUAAGUAGUGUGAAUUGCAGAAUUCAGUGAAUCAUCGAAUUUUUGAACGCACAUUGCGCCCCUUGGUAUCCCGAGGGGCAUGCCUGUUCGAGCGUCAUUUCACCCCUCAAGCCUGGCUUGGUGUUGGGCGACGUCCUUUUUGAGGACGCGCUUCGAAACAUUCGGCGGCGUGGCACCGGCUUUAAGCGUAGCAAAAUCUUUCGCUUUUAAGGUUGAGGCCCCGUCUGCCGGAAGACCCACUCGCAAGGUGACCUCG
rnacentral:rRNA from 1 species